rnacentral:rRNA from 1 species
GGGUUGUGAGGUUAAGCGACUAAGCGUACACGGUGGAUGCCCUGGCAGUCAGAGGCGAUGAAGGACGUGCUAAUCUGCGAUAAGCGUCGGUAAGGUGAUAUGAACCGUUAUAACCGGCGAUUUCCGAAUGGGGAAACCCAGUGUGUUUCGACACACUAUCAUUGCGUGAAUACAUAGCGUAAUGAAGCGAACCGGGGGAACUGAAACAUCUAAGUACCCCGAGGAAAAGAAAUCAACCGAGAUUCCCCCAGUAGCGGCGAGCGAACGGGGAGCAGCCCAGAGUCUGAAUCAGCUUGUGUGUUAGUGGAACGGUCUGGAAAGUCCGACGGUACAGGGUGAUAGUCCCGUACACCAAAAUGCACAGGUUGUGAACUCGAAGAGUAGGGCGGGACACGUGGUAUCCUGUCUGAAUAUGGGGGGACCAUCCUCCAAGGCUAAAUACUCCUGACUGACCGAUAGUGAACCAGUACCGUGAGGGAAAGGCGAAAAGAACCCCGGCGAGGGGAGUGAAAAAGAACCUGAAACCGUGUACGUACAAGCAGUGGGAGCCUCUUUAUGGGGUGACUGCGUACCUUUUGUAUAAUGGGUCAGCGACUUAUAUUCUGUAGCAAGGUUAACCGUAUAGGGGAGCCGAAGGGAAACCGAGUCUUAACUGGGCGUUAAGUUGCAGGGUAUAGACCCGAAACCCGGUGAUCUAGCCAUGGGCAGGUUGAAGGUUGGGUAACACUAACUGGAGGACCGAACCGACUAAUGUUGAAAAAUUAGCGGAUGACUUGUGGCUGGGGGUGAAAGGCCAAUCAAACCGGGAGAUAGCUGGUUCUCCCCGAAAGCUAUUUAGGUAGCGCCUCGUGAAUUCAUCUUCGGGGGUAGAGCACUGUUUCGGCUAGGGGGUCAUCCCGACUUACCAACCCGAUGCAAACUGCGAAUACCGAAGAAUGUUAUCACGGGAGACACACGGCGGGUGCUAACGUCCGUCGUGAAGAGGGAAACAACCCAGACCGCCAGCUAAGGUCCCAAAGUCAUGGUUAAGUGGGAAACGAUGUGGGAAGGCACAGACAGCCAGGAUGUUGGCUUAGAAGCAGCCAUCAUUUAAAGAAAGCGUAAUAGCUCACUGGUCGAGUCGGCCUGCGCGGAAGAUGUAACGGGGCUAAACCAUGCACCGAAGCUGCGGCAGCGACACUAUGUGUUGUUGGGUAGGGGAGCGUUCUGUAAGCCGUUGAAGGUGUCCUGUGAGGGGUGCUGGAGGUAUCAGAAGUGCGAAUGCUGACAUAAGUAACGAUAAUGCGGGUGAAAAACCCGCACGCCGGAAGACCAAGGGUUCCUGUCCAACGUUAAUCGGGGCAGGGUGAGUCGACCCCUAAGGCGAGGCCGAAAGGCGUAGUCGAUGGGAAACAGGUUAAUAUUCCUGUACUUGGUGUUACUGCGAAGGGGGGACGGAGAAGGCUAUGUUAGCCGGGCGACGGUUGUCCCGGUUUAAGCAUGUAGGCGGAGGUUCCAGGUAAAUCCGGUACCUUUUUAACGCUGAGGUGUGAUGACGAGGCACUACGGUGCUGAAGUAACAAAUG